UACGUAGGGGGCAAGCGUUGUCCGGAUUUAUUGGGCGUAAAGAGCGUGUAGGCGGCCUGACAAGUCUGCUGUGAAAACUCGAGGCUCAACCUCGAGAUGUCGGCGGAAACUGUCUGGCUAGAGUCCGGAAGAGGAGAGUGGAAUUCCUGGUGUAGCGGUGAAAUGCGCAGAUAUCAGGAAGAACACCGAUGGCGAAGGCAGCUCUCUGGGACGGUACUGACGCUGAGACGCGAAAGCGUGGGGAGCGAACAGG
rnacentral:rRNA from 1 species